AUGACAACUCUGGGCAGUGGAUCACUCGGCUCACGGGUCGAUGAAGAACGCAGCCAGCUGCGAGACUUGGUGUGAAUUGCAGGACACAUUGAGCACUGAUUUUUCGAAC
rnacentral:rRNA from 1 species